CAAGAUCAGUUGUAGGAUGCUAGUCAUGCUAAUAGGUAGAACAAUCAAAAGCCCUUGGAUUUAUGAGUCUCCAUUGAUCUUAAGUCAUUCUUCUCUUCAAUAUUUAAGCUCCCUUGGAAAAGAAACUCUAAGUUACUAAACAUCUAAUAGGAGAUAGAUUACUUGCAUCAUUCAGGAGAAGGAAACGCAGAUUCUUACAAGGAAUGUGGGCCAAUGUUUAGAGAUUAUAAACAGAUAGCUAAAAAGAUGUGACCUAGAGAUAGAAGGUUACCCUCAAUUUACAAAACUGUUUCUAUAAAGUUGUAAGUGAAAUGUCAUACUGGAGCCUAAUCUCUCACUGACAGAUUAUACCAGUGGUUCUAAUUUUUGAUUUUGGGAACCCGCACUCCAUAACAACAUGUUAACAUAAAUAACAUUUUAAAAAAUAACUAUAUAUUCCAACACAAAAAUAGAAAGGCAUUGUAUUCACUUUUGUAAAUAACUACAUUACACUUAAUAGUAGCUGCAUUUUUCUAUCUCCGUAUUCGAUCUGCUGCAUCAUAUUGUUUUGGUUGAAGUUCUGAUGACAAUCUAGCCUCACAUGGCUAUGUCAGUGGAAAAAGGAAGAACUUGUGAACCCCCUGAAAGUUUCUAAGGGCCCUCAGAAUUUUCAGACCACACUUUGAGAAUCACUGGAUUAGCAGUACAUUCCAAAAGGGGGGGAAAAACCUGCCCAAUUAAUGAGUUGAUAGCUUUUUGAAAGAUAAGGAGUCUAGUCAAGGCAUGUGGAGAAUUGUUGUAUUCUAGUACAGUGUUCUGAAAGCUUAAUGUGUAUACAAAUCACUUGGAAUCCUUGUUAAGAUUCAGAUUCUGAUUCAGACGGUGUGGUGUGAAGCUCUAGAACCUCUAUCUCUGAGAAGGUCCGGAGUGAUACCAACACUGCUGAUCCCUGGACCUCACUUUGAGUAGCAAUGCUGUAGUAUAUUUUAAUAUACACAUCACCAGAAAGAAUGCACAGAGCGCCAUAGAGCAUAAAGGAGGGGAAUGGCAGAGGGAGAGGGAGAAGCAGGCUCUCAGGUGAGUGGGGAGCCCAAUGCAGAGUUCAAUCCCAGGACUCUGGGAUCAUAACCUGAGCAGAAUGCAGACACUCAACCAACCGAGCCACCCAAGUGCCCCACCUUUAAAAUUUUUCCACUUGAUACUUGGUUCCUAGAGAGAGCCUCAUUGAAGCAAGAAACCAGCUCCUAAUGAGAUUUUCUUCUUAGAAAUUCUACUUUGUUAUGGACACUUAUUUGCUUAACAUGAGACUUACUGAAAAGCAAAAACCACCCCCAACCCUAGUCUAACAAGGCUUCAAUUCCUAAAAAGCCAACAUGAUUGAUUUUUAGAUCCAGCUGUGUAAGACCAGCCAAGUUAGUCUUGGAAGGUAAUUCUGCUCCCAGGCAUUGUAAUUCCUGUUACUAUCUUAGCUUAAUUAAUUGUAUCUCAUAGAAGCUGAAAACACUCACAUAUUUCUCCUUUAUACAAGUAACCGAAAGCCCUACAAAUUACAAUGUGCAGAAUACCAUAUAAAAGAAUUCUCAUAAAAUUGACUCGUUUUCAUCAAGGUGCAGCUGCUUAGUUUCCCCUGACUUGCAUAGCAUCUACUUGAAUGCAUAUUCUUCUUUGUGAUUAUUGAAAUUUAGGUUCAGUACAAAUCACGGCAAAAACUAAAGUUUUCAUCUUUAAUGAAAUGACCUUGGAAAUAAUGUACAUUUCCAUGACACCAGUACUACAGUUUUCGGAGUCACAGUAAGAUACACAGAAUUAUAUCCGUAAUUAAUAUGAAUGCCAACAUUUCAAGCAGUAAUUUCUGUUACAUGGCAAACAAAAUCAAGAAAGCAACCAUCAAACAAAAGA